rnacentral:lncRNA from 1 species
GUUGCUCCGUGAUCUCCUGCUCUCCUGCCCUCGGCACCUGGCCAUCACCAGGCUACCUUAGAUUCUAUGAAUCUGGUAUUUUAGAAACUUUGUGUGACAGGAACCAUGAAAUCUCUAGAAUACCAGUUCCUUCCUAUUAUUUUUUUACACUCUUUGUGGUGUGUUUGCUGCCGUGUCUAAGGAAUCUUUGACAAGACGAUGUCACUGCAUUUUUUUUCUAGUGGCUCUACCGUUUCGUGUCUUAUGUUGAUGUUGGUUGAUUUUGGGCACAGUAUUGGAGUCCAAUUUAAUUUUCCGCACGUGAAUUUCAGCUUCCGCAGCGCUCAGUACAGAGCCUGGCCUUUCCGCCUCGAGGACUCUUGGUAUCCUUGCCUUGCUAAGAUGGCUGGAUGGGGUGUGGGCAGGGCUACUUCUCGGCUGUCGGUUCUGUUGGGAGCCUGAGAAGGGCACCAGGGUGGAGCAGCUGCCUCAGGAAAGCCACACGUCAAGAGCAGCUUCGGGGUGAACUAGUACCAGGGAGGCACUGGCUGUUGAUACACAGAGCAAAGGAGACAGUUCCGACUUCAGGGAGUUCCCAACCCUGAAGACGAGCAAAGGCUGGGUCCGGUUUCUCCUCAUCACAGUCAGCCCCCAGAGGGACGAGACAAGAAGCUGGGGAUGCAGGAAAGCCAGGGUGAUGUAUUCAGGUGGAUGGCAGGAAACAGCAACCUGAGAAACAGCCUGCCUCUUUGAUAAGACGGAGUGUUUUUCCCCAGAUGGGCUCUUUUUGCCAACAGAUAUUAAUAAAAAGUGUACACACAGAAUAUGCCAUCUGAAAAAAUUCUACAAUAGGGUAAAGAUGACUAACCAGCUUAAUUAUUAAUUUCUUAUUUCCUCAGGGCAACAAAACAAACAGAAUUAGGACUUUGAAUGGAAGGAUCGACCUUCAGAAAAGUGAAAUGGAAAAUGGACGUUCAAACACACCAUUUCCUCUGGGUCUAGCCCCUGGAUCAAGAUUCCAGCUCCCCAAGACUAAGUCUCAACAUAUGAUAAAAUUAACACUUAUGUGGCACCUAUGGUUUGCUUCAUGCUAAGUAUUCUGUACAUAUUAAGUUAUGUGGUCAUCACAGCAACAUUUUGAGCUGAGUCUGACCACCCACGAUUCAUCAAGAGGACACCCAUCCAGUGUGGACCGCCUGUGCAGGAUCACAAGGCUGUGGGCGGCAGGGCCAGAGGUGCAGUGAACUGGCUCCAGACCCCAUGCUUAGCUCUGCACCCGCAGCCACGGGGCCUGGGUGCCCUCUGAGCCUCAGGAGACAGAACAUGGGAGCAGCCCCUGGGUGCCCCCAAAGUUCUGAACUGUCCUAGAUUAACAGCGCAGAACACGCUAUCCACGGGCUUUGCUGUGACCGGAUCCGUGCACAGCCAUUCAGGUAACAAAGAGAUCCUGAGACUUAUCUUUCUAAAACGAAAAGCUUCCCUUUAUUUCACUAGACGUGAUCUACACACAGUGGAAAUGUCCGUCCCACAGGCUGAUAAAGCUACAUAGGCUCGAAAUGACUUCACGGGAACAAAAGUGGAGAGGGACUUUCACAAAGUCUGAUCCUCACGCAGACGUGGCUCUCAGCUGGGAAGGGAAGCGGAAGGGCAGGAGCACCUUAGGCGUCUCCAGCUGCAGAGGAGCAGUCCUCAGGCCAGAACAGGAGCCUCACGGGUUCCGCAAGAGGAGCUUUCUCACCGACGCUGUUCAAGGGCCACCCUCAGCGGAGGCAGAAUGCCAGGGCGGGAAGCUGCUCUGACCGGGUAGACAGGGUGGGCGCCCAGCAGAGGAGGAGGGGGUCCAGUCAGGUAGCCCAAUCCCAGGGCACUCAUCCUGGGCGAGCCCAGCAGGUCACGCGAGAGCGCGGGACAGGUGAGCCCUUGCUGGUGAUAGAGACACUGACAAGCCGGACGUUCUAGAUCCACUCUCCAAACGUGCGUCAGGAUCCUCGGGUGCUUUUAAAUCCAUAUCCAGGUUUGUACUCAUCACCAGAUCUCGCUGCGCCACAGGCCACUGCCUUAACGUGUUCCACGGAUCCUGUGAAUCACAAGUGUCCCAUGCAUCCUAAUCUCACACCAAUGACAGUUUAGUAGUGAAUGACUCUUUACAAUACUCACACAAUCUUCUUUUUAAAAAAUCAAAGCUUCACAUAUGGUCACAUCCCACAUUUUUGCAAAACAGAUGACAUAAGAUCUUCGAUGGUUGUGAGCUGAGGUGCAGCCUUGGAUUCUGUACCAGGACAGAAGAGGUCAGAGUGCAGAGUGCUUUAAACAGCAGAGCUAUUGUUUGCUGGUUCCUUCACACACAUCUGUGAGACUGCAUGCUCACUAUGUACAGAGCUAGGUAUUUAAGUACUGGGGGCCAUAAUUGGCAUAUCCUUAAUCCUUGAUGUUAAAAGUUCUGUGGAAAUACUGUCACUCUCUGGGGAGCAUCCUCCAAGGAGGCAGAGCAUAGGGAGCCCCUGGGGUGCAACCCAGCACACCUCAGGAGGAGCCCAUGCCAAGGAGCAUGGCACAGGGUCAGAGGUCCAGCAAGGCACACCCCUCAGGCUGAGCAGAAGCCACAUGGGCACAGAGCCUGAUGGUGGGUUUUGUUGCUGAGAGGAUCAGGCCAGCAAGCACCCAGGCAGGAGGAGGGCACUGGCGUGGGAGCAGAGGACAUUGCAUCUCCUGAUGGCAGUGAUGGCUAUGUGAAUGCGAACAUAGCAUAAAUAAGGCUCUGUGGGUGUCCCUCGGGGCACUGAUCUGUGGCCUCCCUCCUGUCUGUCUGUGGUUCAGCCUGGCCACCCACUCCCCGUCAGCCUGCCCUCCUCCUCCUACGUCUCCCAGCUCUGACUUCUUUGAUCACCUCAAGUGGGGAAGCACUUUCUACUCUACCUCUUCCUCCAAAUGACUAUUUUUAAAACUUCCAGUUCUUCUAUUAUUUUUCUGUUUUCCAAGUGCUAGAAAAGAAUCUGAGGAACACAAAUGAGUAACAGGAAGACAGAGAUCAUGCAUGGGUGGUGGGGAGGCUUGCUGGGAUACACAGGCAGGUUUAAGAACACAGCUGUAGGCUGCAAUGUCCUGUGGCACAAGCUUUAAUGUGUGAUCCAAUCACGUCCCAUGCUAAUAAAACUGCAGCUGCUCAUGAUGGUGAGUUAGACACAUAAACACUGCACCCAACUCCUCGGUGAUCACAGGGCUCAAAGAGGGCCGUGCCUGGAAUCCUGAGCUGGUUGAGGAGUCUCAGAGGCUGCAAGAUGAGUGGUCUUAAAAUAGCAGAUUCUGGUCUCAAACUGGACAUCUGCCUGCUGCUGACUUUGGAGCCGAGGGCCUUUACAGAGGGGGCUGACAAGGGCAGCUCAUUCCCCAUGUGGCCCAGGGAGCACGUGCUGCCGCUGGUCCUGCCUACCCAUCCGCUUACAAAAGCACCGUCCUGGGGGUAGAGCCUGGGAGGCCCCCACACUCACCACUGCUGUCUUGAAGAUGAGGCAACGGGGCCUCAGGGCCAGGCCACCAGGACACGGCACAGGCCAGCACAAGGUGGAACCAGGGUCAGAGCGAGCGAUACAAGGUGUUGGCCACAGCCCCGUUCACAGAGCACUGCUCUGACCGCCCAGGUGAUCCAGCCUCUCCAACCCUGCAGCCCCAGAGGGAGGACAAGGCCAGGUAGAAACACAGGACACCAUGGAGCCAGCCUCCCACGCUCCUUAGGAGGCCCUGAGCUGUUCACGGGCAUCCCAGGGGUCACUGUGGCUGAGGGUGUCCAUUGCAGGCACGGUGUCCUAUGGGCCUCCCCACACCAGGCCCUCGCUGCGUGUGGUGCUGUGUGGCUGCCCAGUCCCCGGCAUUUUGCUUUUCUACAGAGCAUCACUUCCAUGCAGCACAACCUCGUGCACGUCGGGCUUCUUCCCAGUAAGGCUUCCUUCGUCCGAUCCCCUUGCCUGGCCUGACCAGUGCGGGUGCUGAUGGGAAGUCCGCGGCACCCUGUUUAGAAGCUUAGGGGAACUCCUUUCUCUGGAAACUCCUCUUUCCAACUUCUGUGUCAUGCUCCAAUCAGGGCACGUCCAGGGCACUGCGGUGACAUCAGUUGAAAGGAUGUGACCUUGCCGUUCAGUUUCCAUCCCUGCAGGUCAAGGCUGCGGGUCUAACUCACCCACUUCUAAGCAGUGUUCAGAGGGGGGAGCCACUCGACUCCUGCGGCCCCCCCCUCCUGCUGUUCCCCACAGCGGAGUGUUCUUCGUCCCCUCAUCCCUCACCUGAAGGUCUGAGUAGCAAGGCACACCAUCUGGAUCACACGUGGCCUUUUUGAUACCUGCUCUGUAAUGUGCUUGUGGUGAUUUUCAUGAUACCAAAUUUACUCAACAAACUCCCUUUGAUUCUACCAGAGAAUGUAUUUCUUAGAAUGUUAAAUUUUUAUGCAAUCCCCAGCAUUCCUCAUCUACAGGGAACAAACCAGUGGAAGACCAGGAACUAGACUGUAAUGCAAAUGUAUUCUGUUAAUUUUUAUGGCAAAGAGCUGCUUGACCUUCAGGUGACCUACACUGAGCUUCCUGAACUUGGGGUGGCUUGAUGGAAGGUGAAGUGAAGGGGCAGCGACUCACGGAGUAUCCGGGACCCUGCAGGCUUCACAGGUGUCCACGGUGUGGGCUGGGCGUUGAAAUCCCCUAACUGGAAGGAAUGGCUGGAUUCUUAGGCUUCACUAUGUGAAGAAGUGUGAAUGGAGAGGUCCGGGUUCCCUCCUACCCUGCAUCAGUCUCUAGACGUUCAACUUUGAGCUCCAAACUCAAGGAAUAAAAUUACAGGAUGCCAAUAGCCUGUCCAGGAAGCAAUAAUGCCUUAUAAUGUUCCCCUGUCUUCCACAGUCCUCGAGUACAAAAUAUAUUUGAAAAAAAAAAAAAAAAGAAUACGCUGGCAGUUUUUCUGAAUGAAAUACCUAUGCAAACUAUCAGCAACGGAAAGUCCAGCCUUAGCCAUGCCAGGCCUUGUGUCAGAGCGAGGGAGUCACCAGGGCACGGUGCAAGGGGCAAAGGGAGAUCAGCCUACGGGAUCAGGGUCUGCAGGAGGAGGCAGGUCCACAGCAACUUCCAGGCACGUGUUUUAGGUCAUCCAACAUUGUCCUUGUGAAGUUAUAUGUGACCAGCUCUGCACCUGGUGCUGGCAGUGCUUGGACAAACAGGUCCUUACAGAACUCUGGACUCAGAGAGACUGUCACCAACAAGCCUCCACACCAGCCAGUUGGCCCAAAGAAUUCUUCCCAAUAAAGGACAGCACAUGGGCAGAGGCAUGUGACCAGUCACAGACUACAGUGCACAAGGCAAGAGGCUCCAACCCUGGGAGACGGGAUGCAAGUGGAAGAAUUCAGAGGCGGAUGGAUGUUAUCCACAGUGCAUCCAGAAGGACCAAGAACCCUUCAGCACUGUAAAUACCACUUCAAAAUCCUCCAAAUAGGAAAUAGAAGCGUGAAAGGUUUUCCCAUUAUAGAAUAUUAAUACUGUGAAUUUUGGUCAUUUUCUUCUUCAUUCAUUCGAGACUGUGCUCAGUAAGAGCCAGCAGCCACCAGGUACCAGCAGAGCAAGCCAAGCACCUUCAUCAUCUUACUGAUGCACACUCUGUCCUCACUGAGAUGUGAAUCCACGCCGGUGUCCUCAGCAAAGGUCAUGCAGUUCACUCAGUCACCACUGAAAUCAAACUCACCCUCUGGUAGUGCUGCGUGAUUUCCUCUUCUGGGGCAGACUCCAGCACCCUCACCUCCUGGGACCACCGUCUGGUCCCACGGUGCUCACCCACGCCACCCCAUGAGUACCAUGUAACCUCAGAGCUCUGUGCUCAGCUGAGAGUCCUCCCACCACGGGUCCUCUCUUAUAUUCUGACUAUAUACAUUUAACCUUGAGAGUUGUCUAUUCUCCAAAAAUUCAGAAUUUUAUAGCCAAAAGGUCCUUGACAUUACUAAAGUCAUUUUUCCAUAAAGAUUAUUCCAUGAAAUUAUAAAGGAAAGGAACACUCCAAAUACAUUCUAUGAAACUAACACCUAAGGCAUAUCAAGGAAAGAAAACCACAGACCAAUAUCCCUGAUAAACAGAUGCAAAAAUUCUCAAUAAAAUAUUAGCAAGCUGCAUUAAAAAAAAAAUCAUGAAGACAAUACAUCGUGGUCAAGUGGGUUUCAUCCCAGGGAUGCAAUGUUAGUUCAACACACACAAAUCAAUAAAUGUAAUUCACCACUUAAGUAAAAUUAAGAACAAGAAUCAUAUGAUCAUCUCAAUUGAUGAAGAAAAGGCCUUUGAUAAAAUCCAGCACUCGUUCAGGUUAAAAACACUGGUGAUACAAGAGAUAGAAGGAAUUUAACUCAACAUCUUAAAGGCUACAUACAACAAACCCAAAAAACAACAUCAAAUUGAACAGAGAAAACUAAAAGAAUUUCCUAGAAAACCAGGAAAAAGGCAAAGGUGUCCACUCUCACCAAACUUAUUCAAUAGAGUCCUUGAAACACUAGCCAGAGCAACAUGGCAAGAAAAGGAAAUUAAACAGAUGCAAAUUGGGGUGGGGGGACAUCUCAAAUUAUCUCUGUUUGUUGAUGACAUGAUCCUAUAUGUAGAAGACCCAAAAACUCCACCAGAAGAAUUCUAGAGCUAAUAAGUGUAUUCAGCAAAGAAAUAGGAUACAAGAUCAACAUUCAUAAAUCAAGAGCUUUCCUAUACUCCAACAGUGAUUCUGCUGAGAAAGAAAUCAGGAAAACUAUCCUAUUUAUAGUAAUCUAAAAAGUAAAUUAAAAAAAAAUAAAAACCCUUAGAAAUUAAUUUAACCAAGGAAGUAAAAGAUCUCACAAUGAAAAAUACAGAACACACAGGAAAGAAAUUGAAGAAGACCUUGGAAGAUGUAAAGCUCUCCCGUGUUCUUGAAUAGGCAGAAUUAAUAUGGUCAACAUGACCAGACUACUGAAAGCAAUACAUGAAUUCAGUAUAAUCCCCAUCAAAAUACCCACGAUAUUCUACACAGAACUAGAAAAAAGUUCUAAAGUUCAUUUGGAAGAAUUGAAGUUCCAGAAUAGCCAAAGCAAUUUUGAGCAAGAAGAGUGAUGCAGAAGAUAUUACAAUACCUAAUCUGAAAUCACACCACAGAGCUGCAGCCACAUACACGGCAUGACAUGCAUCAAACAGACAUGAACAGCAAGGGAUUAGAAUAGAAGACACAGAGACAAAGCCACACAGAUACACUUCAUCUGAUCCUUGCAAAGGUCCCAAAAACACAUGUCAGAGAAAAGACAGCCUUUUUAACAAAUGGUGCUAGAAAAAUUCUAUAUAAAUAUGUAGAAGAAUGAAUGCAGAUCUCUGUCUCUCACCAUGUACAAAAAUCAAAUUAGGUGGGGCUGGGGAUAUAGCUCAUUUGUUAGAGUGCUUGCCUUGCAUGCACAGGGCCCUGAGUUAGAUCCCCAAUAUCACACACACACACACACACACACACACACAUCAAAUUAGACUGGGUCAGAGGAUUAGGAAUUAGAUCAGAAAGUUUGCAGCUGCUGGAAGAAAACACAGAGUCAACACUCCACCAUAUUGGUGUGGAGUGUUCCUUAAUAAGAUCCCUAAAGCUCAGAACCAAAACCAGGAAUCCAUAAAUGGGAUGGCAUCGAAUUAAAAAGCUUUUGCUCAGCAAAGGAAAUGAUUAAGAGCAUAGAGAGAGAUCAUACAGGAUGGGAGAAAAUCUCUGCCAACUAUUUAUCUUAAGGGGAUUAAUACUCAGAAUUUAUAAAUAACUCAAGAAGCUUAACAAAAAACCCAGAUAUCUCAGUGAAUGAACAAAUGAUCUAGACAGACAUUUCACAAAAGAAAUACAAUUGACCAACAAAUACAUGAAAAAAAUGUCCAACAUCCUUAAUGACAAGGAAAAUGCAAAUCAAAAGUACACUGAGAUGUUAUCACUCCAGUCAGAAUGGCAGUCAUCAAGAAGACAAAAAGUAAUUGCUGGCAAGAAUGUGGGGGAAAUAUCCUCUCAUACAUUGUUGGUGGGACAGCCAAUUACCGCAAACACUCUGAAAAACAACAUGGAGAUUCCUCAAAAACUAGGAAUGGAUCCACCCUAGGACCCAGCUAUCUCACUCCUUGGUAUUUAUUCUAAAGAACUAAACCAGCAUAUUACAGUGACACACUCACAUCAAUGUGGAGAGCCACACGGUUUCUGAUAGCCAUAUUAUGGAAUCACCCCAGAUGCCUGUCAACAGACAGGUGGGUAAAGAAAGUGUCUCUCUCUCUCUCUCUCUCUCUCUCUCUCACACACACACACACACACACACACACGCACACACACACACCGUAGAGCUUUUACUCAGCCCUAAAGAGGAAUGAAAUAGUGGCAUUUGCUGGUGAAUGGAUGGAGGGAGAAGAUCAUGCUAAAUGAAAUAAGCUGGACUCAAGGGUUGAGUGGAAUUAGACCAAAUAAGGGAAAACAUUGGGUGGGGGUUGAAUAUCAUUAAGAAGAAGAAAGAUGGAGAUGGAGAGGUAGGGAGGAGAGGAAACGUGGGAUCAAUCUAACAGAACCACACCAGGGGAGGGAAGAGUGGGGGGGCACCCGGGACUGAACGGAGCAAACCCCAUGCAUGUGUGACAUGUCAAAUGAACCCAGCUAUUGUGAAUGACCAGGACCCUCCCAUGAAAUUCAAGAGCUUUUAAAAAAGAAAUAGGGUUGGAAUGCAAACAUCAGACACUUGCUUAGCAUCCACAAGGCCCUGGGUUCCAUUCCAGUGACACCUGCAUCCCAGGACACCUGUUGUUAGGGUCCAUAAACAAGUCAAGAUAGUGCCUGGCAUUUUGCCAGAGGGAGUGGUUUGAGAAGUAAUGCCAGUGAGCCAUUAAGAUGAUAGAUUCCUUAGUGACUAACUGCUGUGCCUAGUUUAUGUAAA